GUGAGUCAUCGAAUCUUUGAACGCACAUUGCGCCCCUUGGUAUUCCAUGGGGCAUGCCUGUUCGAGCGUCAUUUUGUACCUUCAAGCAUUGCUUGGUGUUGGGUGUUUGUCCGGUAGCGGACUCGCCUGAAAGCUAUUGGCAGCCGCCGCAUGGGCAGCAGAGCGCAGCACAAUCUCGCGACUCUGCCCUGCGCGUCGGCGUCCACAAGGCCUUUCAACGUUUGACCUCGGAUCAGGUAGGGAUACCCGCUGAACUUAAGCAUAUCAAUAAGCGGAGGA
rnacentral:misc_RNA from 1 species